CGCUAUACAAGCUUUUGUAUUGGUAACAGUAAUGUAAUAGGCAGACGUGGACAUUAAGGGUAUAGAUAAAUUCGGAGCAGCUCAAAGAUGUGCCCUUAGCAUUAAAAUGUUCAGAAAACCGAACUUUAGAACUAAGAAUUUCAAGACACUAUGGCCUAAAGCUCCCUUGGUUGUGAUUUGUCCAUUUUAAAAACUAUCCUAGAAUCAAUAAAAAA